AGAGUUGCAACAAAUGCUGCAAAAGUUCUAGAAGAGAAAGGAUUUCCAGUUGACGCUAUUAUCCUGGAGGCUCCAUUUACCAACAUAUGGGUUGCAAGUAUCAAUUAUCCCAUGUUAAAGGAGAAGAAAGUCUCUAGAGAAUUCAAGGAAGUUGCUGAAUGGUUUUACACAGCAUCCCAGAUUUACCGGAAACUUCCAGGAUUUUAAAGCAUGGUUAUGGAUGCCCUGAGGAAAGAUGAACUAGUCUUCCCCAGUGAUGAAAAGUAACUUAAUGAUGUAAUUAUUACUAUAUCAAUAGGAUUCUGGUGGGUAAUUAUCAUGUGACUUAUUGAAUGGGGAGAUGACCAGUCUGAAUGAGUAGAUGAGAAUUCUUAGAUGGGCACUAGGAUUUGGGGUAAGGUAUCUACAGUAUCUACAAAUUUUUAGUAUUUGGUAUUAUCCUUAUGUCUAAUUGAAUGACUUUACCAAUUCAGUACUUUCUCUGAAGUUAUAAAGGGAGUUGUAGGUUUAGGGUGUUUCAGGACGCUUUAAAGGUCCUGUAGGGUCUAACCUAGCGUUCCUUGGAGGAAUCUCUGAGUUCUAGGUCUUAUUCCCCAUGUAACCAAAAUCCAUACACCAUCCAGCCGAAUAACCCAACAGCAAGUCCAGUGGCUAGAAUCUGGCAAGUUAGCCUCUCACAGUUGGAGAAUCUAGAGUGCCUACAAAUAGGCAGUCGUUAUCAGUAUUUUUUCUAUUUCAGCACACUUGAGGGAUCUAACAUCCUCAGGAGUAACAGCGAGUCACUGUGGCAGGGGUGGAUGGUAUCAGAAUUUGGAAGGGGACAGGGAAGUACUAUUUAUUAGUCAUUCUUCAUAUCAUAGCCUUUUCGAAUUACCAAAUAGGAAGUUGACCAGGAGGCUAAUCAAACCUAUUGAUCUCACGUCCAUCCUGUACAUUUAUGGGGAAAUGUAAACAAAUUGCUACAAAGGGUCCUCCUUGGUCCUGUGGUAGUUCUUGUUAUUUUUUGGUUUUGAGUUACUUUGUUUUCGUUUAAUUGAAACAUUCCAGAUAUUAUGAAAUAAGACAGAAUAAGGAAAAGGUGAGGUUCUGCUAAUUCUGUACAAAUUCAGUGUUUUUUGUUCCUUAUUUUCAAAAAUCACAUAGGAAUAAAUUAAAUCAAAUAACCUAAGUAAAUUGUAUGAGUAAACAGAAGAAUCUUGCCUGGAGGAAAAAAAAGUCACUAUAUCAAGCUUAUUAUAUAUGAAGUUGUUAUUCCUGGGAGGGAUGGAAAGAGCAUUCCUUUAUUUUGGGCAAACCUCAUGUUUUGCUAAAGCCUUAACUUAGAAGAGGAGAAAUCUCAAUGUAUAUCUCUUGAACUGAAUGCUUUUCUUCCACUUGUUCCUAGUGUUAAAUUCCUGUCUUCUCCCCUUCUUAUCAUACACGGUGAGGAUGACAAAACGGUGCCUUUGGAAUUUGGAAAAAAGCUCUAUGAAAUUGCACACAAUGCAUAUAGAAACAAAGAGAGGGUGAAGGUGGUGAUCUUUCCUCCUGGCGUCCAACACAACGUCCUGUGUAAAAGCGCCACACUGUUAAAAACCGUGAGAGAUUUCCUGAGCCAGCAGUGGGCGUGAGGUCUGAGUACAGCGGAGAGCGAAGACUUGGUCCAAACACCAUUUGUGGUGUAUAUUUCUUAUGUAAAACUGUACUAGGCUGCUUGGGUGAGCUGAAGUUACUGACAUUUCUACAAGUCACUUGCCAUUUUAGUAAGGGAAAGCAUGGAUGCUGGGCAUUAUGGAAUGUUUUCGUUUAGCUUGUCAUAGUCUACUUUGUGGAACAUGCCGAAACUUCACUGUGGAGAAUCAGAAUUUGGUAAAAAUUUGAUCCCAUCUAAAAAUGUACAGUUACCAAACAUUCUGGGGAUACCUGUGGAUAAGGUGGUCUUUGAUUUGCACCUAGACAGCAAGCAGUAUAAGAAAGAUGCUCCAAUGUAGUUAAAUAAUUUGUAUUUGAGUUUAGUUAAUUUAAAUGGCAUUAAAAAGUUCCAAGCUGUUUUCUAGCUUUCUGAAUAGCAUUGGGGAAAGUCCUAGCAUGCUACUCAAUCUGCCAUAAAAUAGUAAGAUUUGGCACUCAUGUAGCCUUUGGAAAUUAACGCUUUAUUUUUAGCCCUAAUAUAGUCAUACACUUUCCCUCCCAAUUCCCAGAGAUACUUAACUAGAUUAUUAUUUAAUAAAACAAAACAAAAUCAAAGAAUGUUGUGAAAAUGUUGAAGUCCAGUAAGAAGCUAUUUUUUCUCAGGACACUUUACA